rnacentral:rRNA from 1 species
UACGUAGGGUGCGAGCGUUGUCCGGAAUUAUUGGGCGUAAAGGGCUCGUAGGCGGUCUGUCGCGUCGGGGAGUGAAAACUCAGGGCUUAACCCUGAGCCUGCUUCCGAUACGGGCAGACUAGAGGUAUGCAGGGGGAGAACGGAAUUCCUGGUGUAGCGGUGAAAUGCGUAGAGAUGUGGAGGAACACCAAUGGCGAAGGCAGCCUUCUCGGGCCAACACUGACGCUCAUGCACGAAAGCGUGGGGAGCAAACAGG